UUGAUCCUCCACAAGUGGGAAUGCCUCCACAGUGUACUCAAAUUUUUCCUUGUCUUUGAACUCAUUCGCAAGCCAAUCUAGCAGCACCCUCUUGACCAAGCUCCAAGUGAACACCACGAUCCCCUCCCACUCUUCUUCGAUGAUUCCAUCUCCUCCUUUGGGCACUCGAGCACCUUCAUGAAGAAAUGCUAUGAUUUCUCCACUUCUUUAACAAUUGUGUAGAAGGUCCACACCGAUUGACACAGGGGACCCUAAGUGACCUUCAUCCAUAACUGAUUCCCCUUGCUAGAGUCCGACAACACUUGGCCCCC
rnacentral:lncRNA from 1 species